rnacentral:rRNA from 1 species
GGUGACCUGCGGAAGGAUCAUUAACGAGUUAGGGUCUUCUAGGCCCGACCUCCCAACCCUUUGCUUAUUGAACCAUUGUUGCUUCGGUGGGUCCGUCUAACGACCGCCGGGGGACCGCCGCGAGGCGCCCCUUGGCCCGCACCCGCCGAUAGCCCAACUCUAAAUCCUUUAUGAAUCGUGUCCUAUGUCUAAAUCAUGAUUAAAAAUCAAAACAAAACUUUCAACAACGGAUCUCUUGGUUCUGGCAUCGAUGAAGAACGCAGCGAAAUGCGAUAAGUAAUGCGAAUUGCAGAAUUCCAGUGAGUCAUCGAAUCUUUGAACGCACAUUGCGCCCUUUGGUAUUCCGAAGGGCAUGCCUGUUCGAGCGUCAUUAUCACCCCUCAAGCCCCGUGCUUGGUGUUGGAUGGCCGGUCGAGGUCCCCCUCGACCCCUCCUAAAGACAACGACGGCGGCCUGUGGUUCCCCCGGUACACUGAGCUUCUUACCGAGCACGUACCGGACGAGGGCACCCAGGACCCGGUCUUCUCCUCUCACGAGGAAAUAUUUUUCAAGGUUGACCUCGGAUCAGGUAGGAAUACGCGCUGAACUUAAGCAUAUCAAUAAGCGCAGGAAAAGAAACCAACAGGGAUUGCCUCAGUAACGGCGAGUGAAGCGGCAACAGCUCAAAUUUUGAAAUCUGGCCUCUCGGGGUCCGAGUUGUAAUUUGUAGAGGAUGUUUUGGGUACCGCCCCGGUCUAAAUUUCUUGGAACAGAAUGUCAAAGAGGGUGAGAAUCCC